GAUAACGAACAUUUCGGAUAACGAACAGCUUUCCAGAACGGAUUAAGUUCGUUAACCGAGGUUCCACUGUAUAUGUAUCAUGGCUGGACUAUCUCGGAGCUGAAUACUUCUCGUUGAUUUUCUUCCUGUACGCUGGUUCCACAGAUUGUAAAUGGACAUCUGCGUGGAUGGUGCACAGUAGAAGGGAAAGCAUCAUGAAAGAAGCAGUAUGUAAUAUUUACCUGCUGAGCCGAACUUCUAAUCAAAACUUUUAUGGAAGCUUAUCUGAAUGUAUUAAAAACCCCUUGCCAUAGUGACACUUUGUUUCACUUAAACUGUAUGGGACGGGGUGGCUGUGUUAUUAUCAGCUGUUGCUGCAUUGCACCGCAUGGGAACGAGCCACUUUGGGAGGGAAAGUAUUUUUUUUUUGUUUUGAAUAGUGAUAAAGGAGGCCGCAGCACGUGCAUGUGCAGUGGGGAAAGGCAGCGUUAGUAAGUUCCUGUAAGUCUUCUCCGCGAUAACAUCUCACCCGUGAACGGUUUUGCUGACUGGCGAAGGCCGGGUGGGGCUCGGUUACCGCUAACUGGGGUGAUGCAGUGUCAUCCACCAGGGGUGGAUUUCAUGUUCAGCGCUUAACUUACCUCCGAAUAAAACCCGCAGGCCCUAUUAGCUACUCGCUGGUAAGGCCAGCGCGUCCCGCGCAUUUCGUGUUUCCGACUUUACCCGACAAUAGCUAACUGGCGAUGCAAAUUUAGAACUGCGACCUACAUUCUUUGUUCCGGGGGAUUCCCUAUUUGUGCGCAUGUCCAGAAGACGUUAAUAUGUCUUCCGGGAAAAACAAACAGGCGUGCUCACAGAUUUACUAUACAACUCUGUGGAUGUGCUCUUUUCGCGGAACAAACUUUGUCAGCCUACUUUUUUUAUAAUAAUGGAGCCGACGUCUUCCAAACGCCAGCGAGGAGCAAACUGAUCCAGCAGGGAAGUACGGGCAUUAUUAGAGUUUAAGAGAGAGGUUUUUGAGAUAACUCUAGUCAGCAGCUGCCCAGAUUUGCCUUCAUAUGCACCUGUUCCUGAUGCUGGCCUAACAAAGGAAGUGUUCUCUAGUGUAGAUGUCUAUGAUACAAAUAGUUUAAGAUGUACUCUCAAUAUAUAUUCUGAGAAAAUAAGAGUCAAGCAGAAUUUAAGUUCAGGUCAGCUUUAUGCUAUACCUAACGCUGUUUGCAGAAAUGACAAGUACUGUUAAUAGUUUGUAAUCUCAGCAGUCCUGUCCAACCUUAAAUGAAUUUUCAGUAGGAUGCAUGUGUGGAAGUGUAAUGUAUCUUAAGAGUGAUGUACAAUCUAAGAUUGCAUAUUUUUGUGGUGCACAACUUGUGAA